UUGUUCCUGCAUCAUGAAACAUGGCGAAAUAAAUUGUUGCUUAUUUGCACUUAUUUUUCUGUAAUUUAAAAUACCAAAUUCAACUUCGUGUCAUAUGUAGAUGCAACUGUCAGUCAUUCCAACAAGUUGACUUAGCGCUUAGUCACUUUCCAUCCAAUAGACUCAUCAUGCUGUCAAAAGCCUAAAAUUAAAGUUUGAAGCCCAGAUAUAGUGGAAUACAAAUGUGCUGAGAUAAGGAUCUUUUCUGAAUCCCGCAAUUUUGGUGGUGUACCCUGCAACAGCAUGUUUUUUGUUAUGGCUGUUUCUUCUUCUGCUUAGAAGGCAACCCAGAUGAGGGAUAGAGUUUCAGAGACAUGAAGAGUGUGAUGUGAAUAACCUGCUGUGGAUUCCAUUUUUACGGUUUGUUUAUCAUGAGCCUUUCGGUGUGCUUCUUAGAAAAGAGCACGCAGUUUCUUUAUGGAAUCGUGUGGUCCUGGCACGGAGAUUCUUGUGCCAAUGCUGACCUUUUCCAUGACGGAAGAGGGACUUCCACCAACGUCCAUCCCUAUCUUCGCGACAUCCUCCUCCAUCCUCAUCUAGCUUAUCAUCUAGCUUAUCAUCUAGCUUAUCAUCUAGCUUUACUGCUUCUAAACACAAUUUGGCGAGUUUCUGGACCACUUCAUGAUCGCUUCCGUCCGCUGUGCAGUCACUCACCACGGGAUUAUGCCCAGGAAAUGCAGAGGAGACGUUGAGAAGACGGACACCAAAACAUCGCCGGUAUCUCCAAAAUGUCAUCGCGGAUCAUCAUUUGUUGUUGAUAAUAUGUGUUUGUUUGUUAGUUAACCCGUUGCUGCCACGCAUUUGUUCCCCCUUGUCGAUACGGUGAUCCAUUCUUGAGGCAUGCAUUCCAUGUUCUCCCAUCACCGUGUCAGCCCGGACUUGUCAGCAAUGGCAAGUCCCUUCCCACCUUGGUCAUGGAUCCUUCAGACAUGGCGCGUAGAG
rnacentral:lncRNA from 1 species